rnacentral:rRNA from 1 species
GCGCGAAAACUUUACAAUGCUGGCAACAGCGAUAAGGGAACCUCGAGUGCCAGGUUACAAAUCUGGCUGUCGAGAUGCCUAAAAAGCAUUUCAUAGCAAGGGCCGGGCAAGACCGGUGCCAGCCGCCGCGGUAACACCGGCGGCUCGAGUGGUAACCGUUAUUAUUGGGUCUAAAGGGUCUGUAGCCGGCCGGAUAAGUCUCUUGAGAAAUCUGGCAGCUUAACUGUCAGGCUUUCAGGAGAUACUGUCUGGCUCGAGGCCGGGAGAGGUGAGAGGUACUUCAGGGGUAGGGUGAAAUCUUGUAAUCCUUGAAGGACCACCAGUGGCGAAGGCGUCUCACCAGAACGGACCUGACGGCAAGGGCAAAGCUAGGGGCACGAACCGGAUUAGAAACCCCAGU